rnacentral:rRNA from 1 species
UACGGGGGGAGCAAGCGUUGUUCGGAUUUACUGGGCGUAAAGGGCGCGUAGGCGGCCACCGCAAGUCAAUUGUGAAAUCUCCGGGCUUAACCCGGAAAGGUCAGCCGAUACUGCGGGGCUAGAGUGCAGAAGGGGCAACUGGAAUUCUCGGUGUAGCGGUGAAAUGCGUAGAUAUCGAGAGGAACACCUGCGGCGAAGGCGGGUUGCUGGGCUGACACUGACGCUGAGGCGCGAAGCUAGGGGAGCGAACGGGA